AAAAUAUAAAAAUAACAAAAAUUCAAAAAAUUCCUAAUUUUAUCCUAACAAACUUUAUUCUAAUCCUAACAACCUUACCACCCCACCCUCUACCUAUCUACCAUACCCCUACCCCACGUGACCCCUCCUUUUUCUUGGCCAAAAGAAAUAUACACAGGGGGGAUCCCACAUUAAGAGGGAAUUCCAUUUUCUUGGUUUUCGGCUCCUAGACUCCAUUCUUUUUUCCUUUUCUUGCUCCAAGAGCACACCUCACAGCAUAUAUACACGCACAAUAUCCACGGCAAAAGAGACAUAAUCACCCACUCAUAAUUGACGGGAUUCUUCCCUUUUCUUCUUGCCAAUACCAUACACAAAAUCACUGGCAAGAAACACUCAUACACGCACAUGAUACACAUAGCCACAUAGUGAGAGACGGCGAGAGAGGGAGAGAUCCGCGAUUGAAAUUGAGGGAGAAGAGAGUGGCGGUUACUGUUCUGGCGACAAUCUCGUUGGAAACGCGCCAAAGCCAUUACAAAUCUGGUCAAAGCCAUCGAAAAACAUCACUAGCCCCGGUUUACGACCAAAACAGCAUCGGCUCGACCCCAUAAUCAGACAAAAUCGACCAAGUUUGAUCCAUUUCAGUCCGAUUUCGGUGAAGUUCGUUGGAAAACGGUUGAAACUGUGACUGGUAUGCGAAUUCCGUUCUUCGAUACCGAGCUUGGAUUUCAUAGCUGUUGAGGUUUUCCUAUUCGGGGUCUCGGAUUCGGGUUCCUUUAAUUCUAUAUUAUCUACGAAAUCGAUUCUUUGAAGGUCCAUCUCUUAACUUUGCUCUUUCAUUUUCUCGAAUUUUGGUUAAUGUUGUGAUUUUAUGGUGUGGUUUUGAAUACUUUGAGCAAAAAUAUUGAUUGUUGUUGUGGAUGACUCGUGUGCUUAGUUUGAAUCUUCGUUGGGUGUAUGUAUUGGAUGUUGGUUUCGGAUUUUGAAAAGUGUUGGAUGUUGUGUUAAUCAUUGGUUGAGAAUGAAUCGGGACGGGGAUCGAAAAUUGGUAAAAAGUGAAUAUUAUGGUAUUUUGAUUUAUGAUUGAUGUUGAAUGUGAUAUGUCGUCGAGCGGGCAGACAAACAUUAGGCCGAGUAGGUAAAUUUAGAAUGGGGGGAUUAUUGGAAUGUUUGAAAUAUUUGUUGAAUGUCUUGUUUGCCGCAUUUGAAAAGUGUAUUUAUUUGGCCGGGGAAUGCCUCGAGGUAUUUGUAUUUAUUCACCGGGAAAUGUCCCGACGUACUAUGUUGGCGGAAGAUGAUCGAGAUGAAGGCCCGAGGCAUCGGGUGAAGCAUUGGACCUUAGUCUAGGACUAGCUUAGAAUAGGAUUUAUAUUUUUCGCAUUUUUCUAUUUUUGGAUUGUAAUAAUUGGACUGAACACUAUAAUUUUGGAUUUGUUUGUUUGUUUGAUUGGUUUGUAUGUUUUUGUGUGGUUUAUACA